UACGGAAGGCAGCAGUGGGGAAUAUUGCACAAUGGGCGCAAGCCUGAUGCAGCCAUGCCGCGUGUAUGAAAAAGGCCUUCGGGUUGUAAAGUACUUUCAGUCGUGAGGAAGGUGUUAAGGUUAAUAACCUUAGCAAUUGACGUUAGCGACAGAAGAAGCACCGGCUAACUCCGUGCCAGCAGCCGCGGUAAUACGGAGGGUGCGAGCGUUAAUCGGAAUUACUGGGCGUAAAGGGCACGCAGGCGGUUAAUUAAGUUGGAUGUGAAAUCCCCCGGGCUUAACCUGGGAAUGGCAUUCAAGACUGGUUAGCUAGAGUCUUGUAGAGGGGGUUAGAAUUCCAUGUGUAGCGGUGAAAUGCGUAGAGAUGUGGAGGAAUACCGGUGGCGAAGGCGGCCCCUGGACAAAGACUGACGCUCAUGUGCGAAAGCGUGGGGAGCAAACAGGGAUUAGAUACC
rnacentral:rRNA from 1 species